rnacentral:rRNA from 1 species
UACGUAGGGACCAAGCGUUGUUCGGAUUUACUGGGCGUAAAGGGCGCGUAGGCGGCAAUUCAAGUCAUCUGUGAAAUCUCCGGGCUUAACUCGGAAUGGUCAGGUGAUACUGCUUUGCUAGAGUGCAGAAGGGGCAAUCGGAAUUCUUGGUGUAGCGGUGAAAUGCGUAGAUAUCAAGAGGAACACCUGAGGUGAAGACGGGUUGCUGGGCUGACACGUGACGUGGAGGCGCGAAAGCUAGGGGAGCAAACGGGGA